GUGCUCCUCUUGGCAGCACAUAUGCAAAACCAGGAAAGACACAGAGAAGAUUAGCAUGGCCCUUAUGCAAGGAUGACACACACAUUUAUGAAGCAUUUUAUAUUUUU
ensembl:snRNA U6 U6 spliceosomal RNA